rnacentral:rRNA from 1 species
CUGCAUGGCUGUCGUCAGCUCGUGUCGUGAGAUGUGGGUUUAAGUCCCGCAACGAGCGCAACCCUUGCCUUUAGUUGCCAGCAGUUCGGCUGGGCACUCUAAAGGGACUGCCGGUGUUAAACCGGAGGAAGGUGGGGAUGACGUCAAGUCCUCAUGGCCUUUAUGACCAGGGCUACACACGUACUACAAUGGCCGAUACAAAGGGCAGCGACACUGCGAGGUGAAGCCAAUCCCGUAAAAUCGGUCUCAGUCCGGAUUGGAGUCUGCAACUCGACUCCAUGAAGUUGGAAUCGCUAGUAAUCGUGGAUCAGCAUGCCACGGUGAAUACGUUCCCGGGCCUU